CCGCUGCUUCUUCUUCUUCUACUGCUUCUCUUAUACAUUAAAAAAGCAGAGAUUCAUCAACGAAAUCCAUCAAAAACAUCAGCGUACGAAGAUUCAUCAACAACAUCAUUUCUUGAAGAUUUGUUCUGAAUCAAUGAAGAACAGUCGAUGAGGAUCAUCAAUAAUAGUCAGAUUACAUAUCUUCUCUUGCAUGAUGUUAUCCUUUCUGAUGCUAAUGUUCCUUGUGAAGGGGAACACAAAAUUAUGCUUUAUGUUCGUCUGCAAAGAAACCUUCCUGGUUUCAAUCCAAAUACUCGUCACUGCCUCUAUGGUUUAACAGGUGUAUUCCACGGAAUCAAGAAAGAUGGCGAGGGUGACACGGUUGAUUGCAAGAGUAGGUUGGAACUUCUUAUGGUGUCAUCUCCUGAUCGAGAAGAGGUGGAUGGGAGGAUGAUGACACUAUAGGCGAAGCCGCAUGUCAUGAAGCCUUGGAGGAAGCUAGAGUUAAAGGAAUACUAAAUGAAAGUUCCUUGGGAAUGUGGGAAUUCAAAAGUAAGAGCAGAUAGAAGAGCUGCAGUACGGAAGGAUCUUGCAGGCUUUACAUGUUUGCAUUGGAAUUGACUGAAGAACUUGAUACCUGGACAAAGGAGGAUAACCAUGGAAGAAGAUGGUCUUGGUUAUCCGGUUUUACAAUAUAACACUUCAGCAUGUACGUGACCUUUACCUGGAGUUAAGGAAGAAAUAUAGGGACCAUACAUAUGCGCUGCAAAGUUUGUAACUCAGUGGACCUGUUUUCAGAAGAAUACAUUUCGUGAGUUUCUAUAUGUACACUAGUUUGUUGUUAUACUUGGC